rnacentral:rRNA from 1 species
AUUGAACGCUGGCGGCAUGCCUUACACAUGCAAGUCGAACGGUAACGCGGGGCAACCUGGCGACGAGUGGCGAACGGGUGAGUAACGCAUCGGAACGUGCCCAGUAGUGGGGGAUAGCCCGGCGAAAGCCGGAUUAAUACCGCAUACGACCUACGGGUGAAAGCGGGGGAUCGCAAGACCUCGCGCUAUUGGAGCGGCCGAUGUCAGAUUAGGUAGUUGGUGGGGUAAAGGCCUACCAAGCCGACGAUCUGUAGCAGGUCUGAGAGGACGACCAGUCACACUGGGACUGAGACACGGCCCAGACUCCUACGGGAGGCAGCAGUGGGGAAUUUUGGACAAUGGGCGCAAGCCUGAUCCAGCCAUGCCGCGUGCGGGAAGAAGGCCUUCGGGUUGUAAACCGCUUUUGUCAGGGAAGAAACGCUCUGGGCUAAUACCCCGGGGUAAUGACGGUACCUGAAGAAUAAGCACCGGCUAACUACGUGCCAGCCGCCGCCGUAAGAC